GGCGUGAGAUACCAGAUGCUGUCUGAAAGGAAAGGGAUGUAAGAACUUGUGUGAAGGGAGUUCAGUCGCUCCUGGACCAGUGGAAGCCUCAAGGUUGAGAGGUGACAGGAGAAGGAGGGAAAGUGUAAACUCUGUCUGAAGCUCCUCAGCUCAGAGGUGCUCGGUGCUCAGAACAGAGCUGAGAAGCAGAGGGAGAUGCUGAGACUGGAAACGCCUCUGCUUGUUAAUACGCGUCUCUUCCAACAGCAGCUUUGAAGAGGAGGCUGCUGUACACACGACUUUACUCCAAUUCAUUGUCUUUAUAUUCUUGGUUUGUGAGUGCCGUUUGGCCUUCCGAGACUGGACAGUAAGAAGCGAGUGAGGAAGAAUUUGGUCGGAUCAUUGUUGAUUAUGGGUAAACCCACGAACCAUGAAGCUGGUUAAAGAGAGACUACGGUGACCCAGAGGCAGGGACUCAGGGCUUCCUGCCUGUAUGCUCUGUCUUCUGCUUCCUGGUCCUGGCCCAAUGAGGGGCUCUUUACCACGUGAUCUCACCUCCUGGCCCUCUGCACUGUGAUGAACGGAGAUCCUCCUGGAACCAUGAGCCAGUGUGCCAUUCCUUCUGUAAGUUGCUCUGCCAGGCGCUUCUCCAGAGCAAUGAUCUAAGUAACCUUAUGCAUUGGUUGUGAAACACUGGCUGCUUCCCUUCCAUUUUUCAAGUAUGUUCUAGUGGUUUCCACACUUUCUUGCACAUGAGAAUCACUUGGGGCGGGGAGGAGUUUAAAAAAAAGUCAAACCAUCCAGGGUGUCUCUGAUAUCGGUUGAAAUCUCUAGGGGGAGGGGUGUGAAGCAGCCUCUGGCGGCUUUUGUUUUGUGAAGCUUUGUAGGUGAUUCUAGUGUGCAGCCAAGUUUGAGAAACAAUGUUAUAGGCCAGUGGUUUUUCAACUUGAGCCGUGAAUCAACAUCACCUGGAGAGCUUGUAAAAACACAGAGGUUGGGUUCCACUGCCUUGACUUCCUGGGUAAGUGACUUAAGAAGGGGAUCAGGGAUUUGUAUUUCUGAUAUGUUCCCAGUUGAUGCCAGUGGUCUGGGGGUUACAUUGUGAGCUCCAUUGUUCUCGAAUUUCAGGUGUGUUGAUACUAUCAAAAUGCUUGGAAUGGAAAGGGAAGAUUCAGUCAUUAAGGAGACAUUUGCAUCACUUUGGAAAAUUCAGGUGAUACACCGGGGCUUGGAAAAAAAUACCCACAAUCAUGUUCUUUUGUUCUUAUAACUAUUUCAAAGUGACCGAAAAUACAUUUUGUUUCAGGUAGAUUUAGCCCAGGGCUUGAAUAGUCAGCCAUGGUCCAUUCCUUCUAGGUUAAAAGUGAGUUGUAAAUGCAAAUGGGGGAAACUCUGGGUCCACUGCUUGUUACUUAACACAGGUGCUGCCUGGUGGCUCAUCACUUCAACGUUCCCUGUUAGACGGGGACGGGUGGAGGGUGAGUGGUGGAGGGAGGGAGGAGCGGAGGGGGUUGCAGGGGUGUGAUGAGAGUCUGUUCUUUAGGGAAGACCACAACUUUUGCUUUAUUGAGUUUAUAACAGUUCCCGGUUCGGGCCGCUUCUUGUUUUGGCUUAGUGCAGUUAUUUUUCCUUUUCUAUUAUAAAUAUUAUCUGCACAACUCUCUUAGCUCUCCCAGUCCCAUUUAAGUGUCAUUAGGUUUCCCAUUAGCAGCUACUGUUGAUGGUUUCCUGCAGCGGCCUCAGCGUGAGCCUCCUUGCUCUGAAUUUGAUCUGGGGAAGAGCAAGAGAAAAGGAGGAAGUGUGGACUCUACUAAUGUCUGCCUCCCAACUUGAAAACAGAAGCAUUCUUCUGAAACCCAAGUCGUUUUUUUCUCCGGGGAAGCCGGCAGCAGGUGAAACAAUUUGUGCAUCUAUUCCCACAACCCC